GACAGAGGGUGCAAACGUUGUUCGGAUUUACUGGGCGUAAAGCGCGUGUAGGCGGCCUUGCAAGUCGGAUGUGAAAGCCCACGGCUCAACCGUGGAAGUGCAUCCGAAACUGCAUAGCUUGAGUCUCGGAGAGGAAGGUGGAAUGCUUGGUGUAGAGGUGAAAUUCGUAGAUAUCAAGCGGAACACCGGUGGCGAAGGCGGCCUUCUGGACAGUGACUGACGCUGAGACGCGAAAGCGUGGGGAGCAAACAGG
rnacentral:rRNA from 1 species